GACGAACGCUGGCGGCGUGCUUAACACAUGCAAGUCGAGCGGUAAGGCCCUUCGGGGGUACGACGAGCGGCGAACGGGUGAGUAACACGUGGGUGACCUGCCCUCAGCUCUGGGAUAAGCCUGGGAAACCGGGUCUAAUACCGGACAUGACUCCAUGACGCAUGUUGUGGGGUGGAAAGCCUUGUGCGGCUGAGGAUGGGCCCGCGGCCUAUCAGCUUGUUGGUGGGGUGAUGGCCUACCAAGGCGACGACGGGUAGCCGGCCUGAGAGGGCGACCGGCCACACUGGGACUGAGACACGGCCCAGACCCCUACGGGAGGCAGCAGUGGGGAAUCUUGCGCAAUGGGCGAAAGCCUGACGCAGCGACGCCGCGUGAGGGAUGACGGCCUCGG
rnacentral:rRNA from 1 species